rnacentral:rRNA from 1 species
AUGGGGUCUUUUGAACACUUCUCGUUUACACCAUGUAAUGAGAACCAGAUGUUGGCAUUUCGGGAUACUCUAGAGGUGUGUGAGAUUAGUGAUCUCGGUUUCUCUAGCUUACCUUUUACCUAUGAUAAUAAGCAGCAUGGAAGGAAGAAUGUGCGGGUGAGGCUUGAUAGAGCGAUGGCGGGCAACCGAUGGCAAGAUAUUUUCUCGGAAGCUAUAGUGGUCCACAAUGUUUUGCCAUGCUCUGAUCAUACGCCACUAGUACUGGAAUGCAUCAAAGAAGAUGUGUCCAACGUCCGGUGCAAUUUUCAUAAGUUUGAAACCUUUUGGGAAGGUGAUGCUAAUUUACCUGAGAAAGUUCAUGCUGCUUAG